rnacentral:tRNA from 1 species
AUUUAGGUAGCUAAAUUUUUUAUUUAGUUUUAUAUUGAAUAAUGAUAGAUAGAUUUUUUUCUUUA